rnacentral:rRNA from 1 species
AAAUUGAAGAGUUUGAUCAUGGCUCAGAUUGAACGCUGGCGGCAGGCCUAACACAUGCAAGUCGAACGGUAACAGGAAGCAGCUUGCUGCUUCGCUGACGAGUGGCGGACGGGUGAGUAAUGUCUGGGAAACUGCCUGAUGGAGGGGGAUAACUACUGGAAACGGUAGCUAAUACCGCAUAACGUCGCAAGACCAAAGAGGGGGACCUUCGGGCCUCUUGCCAUCGGAUGUGCCCAGAUGGGAUUAGCUAGUAGGUGGGGUAACGGCUCACCUAGGCGACGAUCCCUAGCUGGUCUGAGAGGAUGACCAGCCACACUGGAACUGAGACACGGUCCAGACUCCUACGGGAGGCAGCAGUGGGGAAUAUUGCACAAUGGGCGCAAGCCUGAUGCAGCCAUGCCGCGUGUAUGAAGAAGGCCUUCGGGUUGUAAAGUACUUUCAGCGGGGAGGAAGGCGAUAAGGUUAAUAACCUUGUCGAUUGACGUUACCCGCAGAAGAAGCACCGGCUAACUCCGUGCCAGCAGCCGCGGUAAUACGGAGGGUGCAAGCGUUAAUCGGAAUUACUGGGCGUAAAGCGCACGCAGGCGGUCUGUC